GUGGGGAAUCUUGCGCAAUGGGCGAAAGCCUGACGCAGCCAUGCCGCGUGGAUGAUGAAGGUCUUAGGAUUGUAAAAUCCUUUCACCGGUGAAGAUAAUGACUGUAGCCGGAGAAGAAGCCCCGGCUAACUUCGUGCCAGCAGCCGCGGUAAUACGAAGGGGGCUAGCGUUGCUCGGAAUUACUGGGCGUAAAGGGAGCGUAGGCGGACAUUUAAGUCAGGGGUGAAAUCCCGAGGCUCAACCUCGGAACUGCCUUUGAUACUGGGUGUCUUGAGUGUGAGAGAGGUGAGUGGAACUCCGAGUGUAGAGGUGAAAUUCGUAGAUAUUCGGAAGAACACCAGUGGCGAAGGCGACUCACUGGCUCAUUACUGACGCUGAGGCUCGAAAGCGUGGGGAGCAAACAGGAUUAGAUACCCGGGUAGUCC
rnacentral:rRNA from 1 species